rnacentral:tRNA from 1 species
GCCUGGUUAGCUCAAUCGGUAGAGCGUGAGACUCUUAGGUUUCACCUUCUGACAGAGGCGAUUGAUCCAAUCUCAAGGUUGCGGGUUCGACCCCCGCAUCGGGCU